AGCCCAUGGAAUGGGCACAACCUCAAUAAGUCCUUUUAACUCUCUCAUGCGUCAAACAAAGAUUCCCCCUCUUCUUGUCUAAAAAUGUUAAUAUCACCCCUAAGUU